AUUGAACGCUGGCGGCAGGCCUAACACAUGCAAGUCGAGCGAGCGGCGGACGGGUGAGUAAUGUCUGGGAAACUGCCUGAUGGAGGGGGAUAACUACUGGAAACGGUAGCUAAUACCGCAUACGAUCAGAUGGGCCCAGAUGGGAUUAGCUAGUAGGUGGGGUAACGGCUCACCUAGGCGACGAUGCCUAGCUGGUCUGGGAGGAUGACCAGCCACACUGGAACGGAGACGAGGUCCAGACUACUACGGCAGGCAGACGAGGGGAAUAGCGAACAAUGGGCGCAAGCCUGAGGAAGCCCUGGCGGGUGGGUUGAAAAGGCCUCAGGGUUUUAAAGCACUUUCAGCGGGGAAGCGGUAACCGGAGAAGAAGCACCGGCUAACUCCGUGCCAGCAGCCGCGGUAAUAC
rnacentral:rRNA from 1 species